CUGGGCAAGAGGUGAAAACCUGGCGCCGAGAGGAAAGUCCGGGCUCCACAGAGCAGGAUGCCGGUUAACGACCGGGCACCGCGAGGUGACGGAAAGUGCAACAGAAAACAGACCGCCGAUGUCCUGGCUCAGGCAACUGACCAGAGCAGGUAAGGGUGAAACGGCGAGGUAAGAGCUCACCGCGUUCGUGGUAACACGAACGGCACGGCAAACCCCAUCUGGAGCAAGGCCAAAUAGGGAAGCGCGGCAGUACGUCGAGGCCGUCACCGUGCAGGCUGGCGGCGGCGGUCUCGAUUGCCUC
rnacentral:RNase_P_RNA from 1 species